rnacentral:other from 20 species
CUUUCUAAUCCCUCUUGGGAUUUUC